rnacentral:rRNA from 1 species
AUUGAACGCUGGCGGCAGGCCUAACACAUGCAAGUCGAGCGAGCGGCGGACGGGUGAGUAAUGUAUGGGGAACUGCCUGAUAGAGGGGGAUAACUACUGGAAACGGUGGCUAAUACCGCAUACUAUCAGAUGUGCCCAUAUGGGAUUAGCUAGUAGGUGGGGUAAAGGCUAACCGAGGCGACGAUCCCUAGCUGGUCUGAGAGGAUGAUCAGCACCACGGGAAAUGAGAAGCUGCCCAGACUCCUACGGGAGGCAGCAGUGGGGAAUAUUGCACAAGGGGCGCAAGCCUGAUGCAGCCAUGCCGCGUGUGUGAAGAAGGCCUUAGGGUUUUAAAGUACUUUCAGCGAGGAGGCGUUACGCGCAGAAGAAGCACCGGCUAACUCCGUGCCAGCAGCCGCGGUAAUAC